rnacentral:misc_RNA from 1 species
UAGGGAGACCUAAUCCAUUUAGAAAUCGAAAACAAUGAAAAUUGUCAAUAGAAACUAAAUUGGUCUAACCUAGGUCGUUCGAGAUUGGUAGACAUCUUUCAAAGUAUUAUUCGGCUUCGUUCAAAACCAUAUAUAAUAAAUGGAAAAAGACAGCACCUAAUUGUCAAAGUUAGACUGCUGGAUGAAGUUCCAGCCAGAACCUUGAAAACUGCAUAAGAGAACAAGAAAAAGCAGGCAGACACAGACAUUUAGGUGGAUGUGGAAGCAAAAGAAAUUGU